GGGCUUGACAUCCCACGAACCUGCCCGAAAAGGUGGGGUGCCCGCAAGGGAGCGUGGAGACAGGUGGUGCAUGGCUGUCGUCAGCUCGUGUCGUGAGAUGUUGGGUUAAGUCCCGCAACGAGCGCAACCCUCACCCCUAGUUGCCACCGGGUUAAGCCGAGCACUCAAGGGGAACUGCCAGCGUCAAGCUGGAGGAAGGCGGGGAUGACGUCAAGUCAUCAUGCCCCUUACGCCCUGGGCUACACACGUGCUACAAUGGCCAGUACAAAGGGACGCGAGACUGCGAAGUGGAGCUAAUCCCAAAAAGCUGGUCUAAGUUCAGAUUGCAGUCUGCAACUCGACUGCAUGAAGGAGGAAUCGCUAGUAAUCGCGUAUCAGCCCGGCGCGGUGAAUACGUUCCCGGGCCUUGUACACACCGCCCGUCACACCACGAAAGCUGUCUGUACUCGAAGUCGCUGAG
rnacentral:rRNA from 2 species